rnacentral:rRNA from 1 species
ACCAGACUCCUACGGGAGGCAGCAGUGGGGGAUAUUGCACAAUGGGGGGAACCCUGAUGCAGCGACGCCGCGUGAAGGAAGAAGUAUCUCGGUAUGUAAACUUCUAUCAGCAGGGAAGAAAAUGACGGUACCUGACUAAGAAGCCCCGGCUAACUACGUGCCAGCAGCCGCGGUAAUACGUAGGGGGCAAGCGUUAUCCGGAUUUACUGGGUGUAAAGGGAGCGUAGACGGCUAUGCAAGUCUGGAGUGAAAGGCGGGGGCCCAACCCCCGGACUGCUCUGGAAACUGUAGAGCUAGAGUGCAGGAGAGGUAAGUGGAAUUCCUAGUGUAGCGGUGAAAUGCGUAGAUAUUAGGAGGAACACCAGUGGCGAAGGCGGCUUACUGGACUGUAACUGACGUUGAGGCUCGAAAGCGUGGGGAGCAAACAGGAUUAGAUACCCCAGUA